rnacentral:tRNA from 1 species
GCGGGAGUGGCGAAAUAGGUAGACGCGUCAGAGUUAGGUUCUGAUACCAUUAAUGAGUAUGCGAGUUCAAAUCUCGCCUCCCGUA